rnacentral:rRNA from 1 species
CGCCCUUAGAGUUUGAUCAUGGCUCAGAUUGAACGCUGGCGGCAUGCCUUACACAUGCAAGUCGAACGGUAGUCUUCGGAUACGAGUGGCGAACGGGUGAGUAAUACAUCGGAACGUGCCUAGUAGUGGGGGAUAACUACUCGAAAGAGUGGCUAAUACCGCAUGAGAUCUACGGAUGAAAGCAGAUCGUUGUGCUACUAGAGCGGCCGAUGGCAGAUUAGGUAGUUGGUGGGAUAAAAGCUUACCAAGCCGACGAUCUGUAGCUGGUCUGAGAGGACGAUCAGCCACACUGGGACUGAGACACGGCCCAGACUCCUACGGGAGGCAGCAGUGGGGAAUUUUGGACAAUGGGCGCAAGCCUGAUCCAGCAAUGCCGCGUGCAGGAUGAAGGCCUUCGGGUUGUAAACUGCUUUUGUACGGAACGAAAAGCCCUGGGUAAUCCUGGGGGAUGACGGUACCGUAAGAAUAAGCACCGGCUAACUACGUGCCAGCAGCCGCGGUAAUACGUAGGGUGCGAGCGUUAAUCGGGAUUACUGGCGUAAAGCGUGCGCAGGCGGGUUUGUAA